rnacentral:rRNA from 1 species
UACGGAGGGUGCAAGCGUUAUCCGGAAUCACUGGGUUUAAAGGGUACGUAGGCGGCUAAAUAAGUCAGGAGGUAGCAAAGCCCGGCGCUCAACGUCGGAAUUGCCUUUGAUACUGUUUAACUUGAAUUAGGUUGAGGUGGGCGGAAUGUGGCAUGUAGCGGUGAAAUGCAUAGAUAUGCCAUAGAACACCAAUUGCGAAG